ensembl:piRNA 21ur-4945 ncRNA
UGGCUUCUAAAUUUGAUGUCC